GGGAGUUCCUGUUGCCCUUCCAGGGAGCCCCUGCAACAUGUGUUGGACUCUGAGGAUAGCCAUAUGGGGCUUGCCAGGAGCAUCCCAAGUCCUAGGAACUAUAAGGAAAAUUACCAGGAGCCCUCUCAUACUCCAGGAUCUAUGCUCGUGUACUCCCACAGACAGGAGGGCCCUAGCAGCGGAGGACUGCAGGCUUUUAGCUGGGUCUGAAGCGCGGAGUACAGAGGUCGGCGAAGGGGCAGCUCAUGGUUCCCUGGAACAAGACAACCUACGCAAGACACCGGAACGUUUCCGCCCCUCUAACGCGGCCGCGGGUUUUUUAACUCUGCCCCGCGGCCGACGUGACGCAAACGCGCUCAGAUUCAUAACGUCAUAUCACAAACGCCGCUAGCGUCACGAAGCAGAAAUUCGAAGUUUCUCUCCCUUCACUUAUAUGCCCCGGUUCCGGCGGGUUUUCCCCGACAUUUAGUCUGGGGGUCGGUUUUCCGCCCAGCCGCUCUGCAACUUGCGUCCUGCCGGCCAGGCGCCCGCACGCCAUCCCCCCUAGGCAGAGCCUCUUGCCCGCCUGCCGCCUCCAGGCGGCUCGGAAAGGAGUUUGGUUACCACCGCCCCCCAGAGCAGCGAGCGCCGAGGGGCUGGGCACCGGCGCUGACGACACCUCAGCGGGUCGGGGCCGUGUGACGGGGCGUCUGGGAGGGCAGGUCCCGCGCAGGGCUGGGCUCAGACGAUGCCUUUCGGCUGCACCACUCCCUCGCCCCACCCCCAGCCAGGCCUCCUCGCCCUCGGGCUGAGCCGAGCAGCGGUUGGUUCCGCCCAGCCCCCGAGAUCGCGGCCAGCCCAGCGGGGGGUACCCGACUCUUACCGAGCUCCCCCUCCAUGGCCGGGCGCAGGUGCCUGGGUCCUGCCGGCUUAGCCCCGCCUCCUGCGGCCGGGACUCGAUUCGGCCUGGGGCGCAGGGAGCCGCGGUUGCCGCGGCUCCAGUGAACAACGGUUGCUCCUGUAAGGCAGCGCAGCACCUCGUGACUGUCUUCUCGGGCGGGGCGCCCUGGAGCUGCUGCGGAGGGACCUGUUUUACCCCGCGGAAGAAGCGGCUCUUGCUGCCUCCUUCCCAGGUGCCGGGGCUCGAAAUCCCUCUCAGGGCCGAGUUGGGCACAUCGCGGCCCGCCAGCCCGGACGCGCAGCCGCGCGGUUCGGUAAGGCCCGGAGAGGCCCCGCCGGCGUGUGGAGGGGCGGGUGCGGCUGGGCAGGCCCAUGGCAGCCGGGUGGUGGGGCAGGAGGAUGGAUUAAUGCCCCCCCCCCAACGGCAAUUCAGGGGAGACAUUAACGGUUCGGCAUAAACCGAGGGGGGCGUGUUGCUGUCGCUGCCCCCACGUCACCGCAGGUUGCUGUGGCGCCGGCAUCAUGUCCAGCGCUCAGUGACCGGCCCUGUCCGCUUCGGGCUCGGGCCGGGUAGCGGUACCGCUGCCUGCUCCAGCCCGGACACUUGUUAAAUAACGGUUACGGGGCACGAGCCCCGAGCCUAGAACUCUGUGGCUGCUGCUCGACCCUACACAACUUUCCCGCGUAUUUUUACAUAUUUAAACAAGCAGUACAGAGCCUGGCUUAAUGCCCAAACUGCAGCAUAAGGAUAAACGAGAAACCAUCUUCCACGCGUCUCACUGGCACAACUAAGGUGAAUGCCCUCAGUAACGGAGCAGUGUGAAGAGCCACAGGCAUUUUUAUAUUAGGGAGUGUUAACACCUUUACAAAACAUGUAAACAGAAGUAAAACAAUUAUAGCGAACACUGUCGUGUAAAGAAACAUGCAGUAAUAUAAUCAAAGCUCUGUGUAAGGUGUGAGCCUAGAUGUUUUAAAGAGACUUGUUUCUGGUGCAGUUCUUAAAAGGAGUAAAAUUGACAACUUAAACAAUAUUCAAGAAAUUGGACAGGUGUACUGGUUUGUGGACAUGUGUAUUUUAAUUAUCGACUAAAUAGUAACCAAAGCA